AUAAAAGAGACGAGGUUGCCUACCCCUGAGCUUGUUGGACAACAGCUUGAAGCUUGCCAGGGCUGAGAGAAAGUGACUGGCCCAAGGUUACCUAGCUGACUUUGUAUCUCAGCUGUGAUUAGAACUCAUGGUCUCCCAGUCCGUAGCCUGAUGCUUUAAUCACUACAGCUAGUCCUCACUUAAGAGAAUCACACGGUUCAAACUGAAACAUCAUGGAAUUGAUGUAUGCCAUUACUCAUUCCAAGAGAAGGUUAAAAAGACUGUUUACAGAAGUUAGAAGUUGGAAAAAUAACUACAUUUACAUGGUGCUAAUUUAGGAAAAAGGAUUUCCUUCAUUACAUUUAGGAACAGUAACAGACCAGGAAAAAAUACUGCAUAUAAAAGAUGUUGGAAGA